rnacentral:rRNA from 1 species
CCUGCUCCUGACAUUUAAAAGCCGCAAUAUUGUGCUAAGGUAGCAUAAUAACUUGUUUCUUAAUUAGAAAAUUGAAUGAAUGGAUAAACAUUAAUAUACUAUUAUUCCUACUUUUAUUUAAAUUGAAACAAAAAUCAAAAUAUUUUUAUUCAAAAGGAAGACGAUAAGACCCUAAUGAACUUAACUAAAAGAUUAACUGGGGUAGUCAAAAAAGCAAAUUUUAUUUAUAUAUAUACAUUAAAGCCUUAAAGAAUUUAACCAAAGUUACCAUAGGGAUAACAGCGCAAUUUAUAUUUCAAGCUCUUAUAAAAAUAUAAAAAUACGACCUCGAUGUUGAAUUAUUAAUCCUAUAAUAAGCACAAUUAUUAUUAAGGAAGUCUGUUCGACUUUUAAAAUUUUACAU